GGAGCAUUUCCGGUUUCAGAAGAUCAACAUAAAAGCCUUAAAGACAGCCGUGGUGUCGCUCUUCAAUUCUUGGUUCUCCUGUGGUGCAUAAGAAACCCGCUACAUGCAGUGGAAACAACCUGGAGCUGAACACAAAGAUAAGAAAGGACAUGAUAGAGGAUUUUAGGAAGCAGGAGAUAAUCACAUUGCUGUCGUGGAGCUGGUGGACUGGCAUAAACAUCUCUCCUGACAUGGUCAGCCAACACAAACCCACUGGGUGGGGGUACAGGUCCGUUGGGCAGGCAGAGGUAUAGGACCUUUAGAUAUAGAGUAAAGGGGAUAUUCUGUAAGGCUAUCACUUUGUAGAUCCAAGACCAAGAAAACACAUUCCCCUCAGGAUCAAUAGAGCACCAGCAUGUCCUGCAGCACUGGAGUGUGUUUUAAACUAUGUGCCUUUUACUUUGCAGUACUUAAAGCUAAUUUAAUAUUUAGCAUGUAUUACCAAAAUGACCAAAAGAUAAACAGACUUUUCAGUAUAGAAUGAAUGUAAGCAAUGCAUGAUGGCUAAUGGUGUUUUAUUCGGUUGUAGUUCCAUGUAUUUCUUACAAAAAAAAAACAGUGUAAACCAUUUUUAUUGACCAGAAUGUAACUGAAAAUACAAUAGCAGCCUUGCCAUUGUCCAUCAAUACCAAAACAUGUUUUUUUUUUCGUAUAACAUUUUGGGAAAUGUAUGUUGUCAUUGUAGUCUUACAUUUUGUUGGCCAACCAAAAUGACCAAAACGUUAACCCGUAAUAAGGCUAGGGUGGAAUUGUACUAUGAGCUGGCUGAGUGUAAAUACAUGGCUCUGAGUGUAAACCUUUUCACUAGAAACCUAGUUGUGUUCAAAUUACCGUCUGUGCGAAAUAGCUAGAAAGCUUUCGUAUUUCAACUUGGCUACACUUACGGUUAUGAAAACGAUAAAUGACGUGCAAUACCUGCGUCGAUCUGUGACGAGCAGCAAAACCCCGGAAAGCUUCUAGCCUACCGGAAAGUUACUAGAAGAACAUUUUUACAUUUUUUUAAAACAUUUUAGUCAUUUAGCAGACGCUCUUAUCCAGAGCGACUUACAGUAGUGAAUGCAUACAUUUCAUACAUUUUUCCCCGUACUGAACAAGAAUUGUUACUUCAUCCGGUUAUGUGACAUUUGUUGUUUAUAGAUUUUUCUCCCACACCAGAUGUCUGGACCCUGGACAGAUAACAGAUGGUAUGGCCUCUGAGGACCCCCAAGACCAACUGGAUGAGGCUAUUAAAAAGGCAGAACGCCUUGCUGAGGAGCUCAACCAAGAGAAGGACCCACAAGCCCAACUGGACGAGGCCAUUAACGAGGCAAAAAGGCUGGCUGAGGAGCUCAACCCAGAACGGGAAAAUAAGAAAAAGACAAACAAGCCUCCAGGGAUUAGGUUCAGAUGGAGACAAAGGGAUGAGAGAGGACAGAUUGUUCCUCAAACCAGGAAGGCAACUACAUCCACUUCCCUUGCUCCAAGGGCCAGUACAUCAAGAGCCAGACUAGUGCAACCUUCUGGGCCAGUCACUGAGGAGGAAGAAUCAGAGACAAGGACCAGUGGAUUGGAAUCCACUCCAGUUUUAAACAUUGAUGAAGAAAUAGGUCUCUACAAUGUUACAGUGCCUGUGCUGACCUGCACAACCUGUCUUUGCACCUGGACAGCAAACUUGGCAGAUCUGAUAAAGAAUGGGUUCUGGCCUGCCACUGUCAACUGUGACACCAUAUACCAGGUAGAUGUGUUCAGCUCUUUUGAGGAGCUGAAAGUGUCAGCCCCAGGAAUGUCCCGUCUAGCGUUUAUACGGAUUUUGGAGCAGCGAACUGACUUCUUUGGCAGGGUAACAAUAAAUUAUACUGAGCUUUACCAAUGUAUGACUUCAGGUUAACUAUGUUACAUUUUGUUACAACACUUUGUGUAACAUAACUUUAUUUCCAGUACUACAACUACAUUAAAACUUCAGGUCUCUUGCUACAGGAUGUGUUAGCCUCCUGCACCACUGUCCUGCCAUGCCCCUUAUCUGUGCCCCUUAUCUGUGCCCCUUAUCUGUGCCCCUCUUGCAUCCAAUAUUUCCUGCUCUUUACAACAUAAGUACUCGUCCUACUUUUGCAUUGGCUUUCACCUGCCUUGCUGUCAACACUAUGUACUGGCCCUGCUUUAACUCAAAUCCAGUCAGCCAUAGUGAAUUAUAGUAUGUUUUGUUUAUACUAUUGUUGUAAGUUAUUUCAUAUAUGUUCUAUAUGUAUUUUUCCCUUACCAGAAUGGAAUGAUCUGUGGGGACACUUUCCAAAAAAGCUUCUUUGAGUGGACGUACUGCCGCUCUGAAAUUGAACAGGUCUGUGAUAUACAGUACUUUGACUGCCCAGCCUGUUCACCCAGCAUGCUUGCAGUGUCAGUGGACGGGAACAAGAAGCUGUAUCGAUUCAAAAAAGGCUAUGUAAAACUAUUCAUAAUUUAUUAAAUAACACCGUACUCUAUAUCAUUUAAACAAUCCAAACAAGGUUUGCCUUUUCUUUGUCCAGUGUGAACGUUUUCAAAUGCAGUUGAGUUCAUUUUAGCUUAAAUGUUUUGCGUUUGUAAUGAAAUUAAUUAUCAACAUUGUCAAGUGUCCACAAUCAGUUACUGAGGUUGAUUGCUAUUUCAUAUGUAAUAUAUUUAAUGUAUUUCACGUAUCCUUUCAAGGACUGAUGACAAAGGAUUCUUUGAUGGCGUGUUUAUCUGCAAGGACGAGGAUGUCUGACUUUGUGAACUAUGUCCAUACAAAGACUAAACAUUUACGUUUCCUGUGUAUCUUCUAAUCUGUGAAAUAGGACUGGCCUCGGGCCAUCUGACUCAAAGGCAGACUCGUUAUACACUAUUCCAAUAAAAACAUAUCAUUUUGGAGAUGGUAAUCCUCUCUCUUCAAGUCCAUUUGUCGUUACACUACUCCCUCUGUUCAGAAAUGCAACACACUUUACAAGUGCUUCUUUUUGAUAGUCGAUCUCCAUUGUAGCGAACAUAGGGGGUAGCUCAGCGCCCUCGGCUAGAUUUUAAAAACCUAACCACUGUCCCGUUAACACUCCCCCCCCAAAACAUUUUUUCUACCUAUACUCUUCUACUUCCUUGUCUAGGGUUAUGGAAAAGGGGUAUGUGGAGCAUCCCAGUGGACAGCAGCUAAAGAGUCAAGGAAAACAAACGACAACUUGAUGAAGAGGGACUCGAAGUUGCCGUCUGCCGCCACGGAAUACUUCUAAGGAGCCUCAACAUGAUGCGUGGAGAGAUAUUUGCGUACCCACUGUUCUUGCAGAAGGAAUUGUCUGGCAGCAGGAACAUACAAUUCAUGUGUACAGAUGUGAUCUGCAAAUUUUGGCCAUACCUGACCAAAGUUGCCCUUCAUUGUCCAGAGCUCGCCACUCUUCUAGACAUGAAGCCACUUCUUUCCGUCAUGCAUGCAAAGGCACAUCGUUUGAAAUGCGAGGUAAGUUUUUCUUUAUUAAACUGUUCUAAGAGAAUUUCCAGCUUCAGUCCUUUACAAGGCUUCCCAUGUAGAUGUUUGUUAUUCACAUAAUUGCAAUAUUAAGUCAAUAUAUUUUUUUAUGUAAAUUAAGAUUAAGUGGGGAGGACGGAAUCAGGAAGGAGCUGACACAACUCUGGGGGAGGAAGUGGAACAAGGGAACAGCUUCUUGUCGAGGGCUGCAAUCUGUUCCAAGCAAAUGUCCAAAGGACAUUUUAAGGUUGUUCUAUUCAGCUAUGUUAAUACUUAUCUGGAAUAAGGACUUCUAUUUGGCUUUUCUAGCAAGAACAGACAUGCUAACCAUCCAGGCCAUGGGGUGGAACAGAAGGAAGAAGAACAACCUGCACAGAGUAUUGUCCAGAAGAUACUUGAAGACAACAGCAAAAAUCCAGGAGGAGACCCAGACUCUUGAAAAGUUUAAGAGUGAUUUGGGUGUAGGCGAUGAGACUCUGUACAACUGGACAACGGAAGUUCAGCAAUGGGCUAAUACAGAGGAAACAAAUGAGAACAUGGAUGGUCCCCAGGUACUACAGAGAACAAUUGAAGUCCUGUUUCUGAGCAUCAAAGGAAACAGAACCUCUACCGUCAGACAGAUGGAUGCAAGAAAAGACACCCUCUGCGCAGAAAGAUAUUAGAAGAAUAGGCCAAAUUGACAGCUGCCAUAGAGGAGUACAACACCCUUGUACCAGAUGAGAUCCUUUCCGCAGACCUUCGUACCUGGCCUUGGGAGCUGCAUGGACAAACUGACCUACUCACAAAGAAAAUAGCCUUUGACCGGGUGAUGCUCCUGAGACGGCUGAAGGAGGAAGAGUUAAUUGUCCUAAAGGAAGUCAAGCAGCACUGGGAAAGCCUAAAGAGGGAAUCGGAGAAUGUGCAAGGCCUUGCUUCACAUGUGGCACCUGACCUAAGCAGGCAAAGCUGGCAAUUGAAUCAGUCGGAAGCUGGGAGCAGAGGUCUCUUCUCCAUGCUUCAGAGGAGAGUCAGCAGCCUCGAAAGACACCAGGACUCUGUCAAACUGAUAUACAGCAAGCUAUGGGCCAAGACACCUCCCUCCUAGAAAAUAACUUCAUAGAUGACCUCCUGGAAGAGGACCUAGAUGACAUCUAUGACAGCAUCCACUACAGCUUUGAUGACGAGGAAUCUAUCACAGACUGAAGGUGUUCGUUUGGGUGGGUGCAGUUUGCACUGGUUGAAAAGUGAUUCCAUUUGUUUUGCAUAUGUGCUUUAUCUGCCUUCCUAAGGAAAAAUAGUUUGAACAUUUUAUGAAAAAAAAACUUUUGUUUCUUCCUUGUUGACAAUGUGAUCAUGUGGCACAGAUUUGAGAAGGGCGCUCGUCUAUUACUGCUUUUGCCCGGUUACAUGACCAGGUCCGAUGCACCCCUUUAAAUGGCCAAUCUGCAGUUGCUACAUCCACUUUUGGAUUCUUGAAGAAUAUAAUUUAUAAAUGCCUCAUGAACAUAGUUCAACUGCCGUACCCCAUCAGAUCCCAAAAUAUAUAUUUUUAUCUACUCCAAUGUUUGUAAACAAAGUAAAUGUAAACUUACACUAGCAUGUGUCAAACUCAUUCCACGGGUGAGCCGAGUGUCUGCGGGUUUUUGCUCCUCAAAUGAUUGAUGAAUUAAGGUCACUAAUUAGUAAGGAACUCCCCUCACCUGGUUGCCUAGGAAAAACCUCAAACCAGCAGACACUAGGCUCUCCAUGGAAUGAGAUUGACACCACUGGACUAUAGCCUGGAAACAUGGUUUAAACUAUGGUUCCAUUUCUCCAGCCCCAUCCCUCUGCUUUUAACAGAACCACUGGACUAUAGCCUGGAAACAUGGUUUAAACUAUGGUUCCAUUUCUCCAGCCCCAUCCCUCUGCUUUUUACAGAACCACUGGACUAUAGCCUGGAAACAUGGUUUAAACUAUGGUUCCAUUUCUCCAGCCCCAUCCCUCUGCUUUUUACAGAACCACUGGACUAUAGCCUGGAAACAUGGUUUAAACUAUGGUUCCAUUUCUCCAGCCCCAUCCCUCUGCUUUUUACAGAACCAUUGGCAGGGAGAACGAUGUAUUGUUUCACCUGGUGAUUUCCGAUUUAAACAUUGUUAAACUGUAAUGUACUGUGCUUAUGUGUGCUUAUUAGUUUAGUUAAUAAAAAACUAAAAAAGGUCA
rnacentral:lncRNA from 1 species